rnacentral:piRNA from 1 species
UCUAAAUACAUAUAUACAACCGGGUCAGUCU